ACACAUACAAAAACCUUCAAGAAAAACUACACAACCAUGACUCUUAUUACCUAGCUCCCCCAUCACACUCAUGAAUCAAAAUCCACCAUCUGACAACUGCAACCCCACUAAGAUCACACGACCUCUGCCAACACAGGACCACCACGAUUCCCUUGAUGCGAAGUUGCAUUCUCCAUUUGUUGCCAUUCAAACACUCGCAGAGUCGCAGAAACCAUAGAAGUACUCCCAACGCUGUGAGCUUUAAUUUGAACCGAUUACAUCUGAAUUCUGAAACUGAUCUGGUUGGAAGAAUUAAGUGAUCUUUUGAGGGUAGAAAACUGCUAGCGGGCGAACCCAAAAUCUUGAGUUUAGGACGUUCACUACUGAUCCAGAUGGAAGUGAGCCACUGGAAGAGGCGCUGGAAGAAGAAAAUUUGGAAGACGCGAGCCUCGUAGAUGUGAAAGUCAAGGCCGAGCCUUAGCGCGCUCGUUGGUUUAGUUUUAUAUUAUUUUAAUCUGGAUAGUGGACGUUCGGUUAUUUGGUUUUGUAAAACCGUUCGUCCUUGACGCUUCUUAUUUCUGUUGUUUUGUAUCUUAGUUCUGUAUGUUAAGCCGUUCGGCUUUUGAACCCUGUUUAGUGUAAA